rnacentral:rRNA from 1 species
ACUCCUACGGGAGGCAGCAGUGGGGAAUAUUGGACAAUGGGGGAAACCCGUAGCAUCCAGCCAUGCCGCGUGUGUGAAGAAGGCCUUCGGGUUGUAAAGCACUUUCAGUGGGGAGGAAAGGUUGAUGGUUAAUACCUAUCAGCUGUGACGUUACCCACAGAAGAAGCACCGGCUAACUCCGUGCCAGCAGCCGCGGUAAUACGGAGGGUGCAAGCGUUAAUCGGAAUUACUGGGCGUAAAGCGUGCGCAGGCGGUCUGUUAAGCGAGAUGUGAAAG